UACGUAGGUGGCAAGCGUUAUCCGGAAUUAUUGGGCGUAAAGCGCGCGCAGGUGGUUUCUUAAGUCUGAUGUGAAAGCCCACGGCUCAACCGUGGAGGGUCAUUGGAAACUGGGAGACUUGAGUGCAGAAGAGGAAAGUGGAAUUCCAGGUGUAGCGGUGAAAUGCGUAGAUAUCUGGAGGAACACCGGUGGCGAAGGCGGCAUCCUGGACCAACACUGACACUGAGGAGCGAAAGCCAGGGGAGCAAACGGG
rnacentral:rRNA from 1 species